CCCACCUCAGCUGUGUGGCUGUUGCCUUUCCUCCUCCUAUCCCAGAUCAACCUAGUAACAUCCAAAUGCUUACCCUCAGUAUCCAGAAACAGGUCUGGCAGCCAAAAUGAGAAAACUGAGCCUGAAAGAGAUGAAGCUACCUGUCUGUGAGCUGGAGAUACUAAAGGACUUGUCUGAAGUCACACAGUACAUUGUGGAAAUCCCUACAAAUCAACUGGUGUAUAUCCAACACAUCCUUUUUCAUGGCUGCAUAAUAUUUCACGACCACGGUUGGCCCCGGGUAAUUGAAACCAUGGAAAACGAAACUGCAAAUAAGGGGAGGAAGGAACACCUCUAUAUUCAUAUAUAUACUAUCUUCCAAAGGUGUACACACAAAUACACGUAAUUUUU